rnacentral:misc_RNA from 1 species
UGCAACUAAAGGGCAAAUAAUAUAUGCUACUUAGCUGAAAAUCUAUGUUUUGUUUGGUGGGUUCCCACAAAUGGCCUGCCAUUUUUAUCUGUAAAAUGCCUUAAUAUUUUGUAGCUGAAAAACAUCCAGGACCACUUCCAGUUCAGGACAAAGUAUCAUCAUCAUAGUUGAUGAGCAUAUUGGAUAUUUAGAAAACGAAUCAUAACAAAUUACGCAUAUCCACCUACGGCAAAACUUAUUACGUGUUUAUAUAAACUGGCCUGGCUCUUUGUUUUGGAUGUGUCUUGCUGUUGAC